rnacentral:rRNA from 1 species
GAUGAACGCUGGCGGCGUGCCUAAUACAUGCAAGUAGAACGCUGAAGCUUGGUGCUUGCACCGAGCGGAUGAGUUGCGAACGGGUGAGUAACGCGUAGGUAACCUGCCUCUUAGCGGGGGAUAACUAUUGGAAACGAUAGCUAAUACCGCAUAAAAGUCGAUAUCGCAUGAUAUUGAUUUGAAAGGUGCAAAUGCAUCACUAAGAGAUGGACCUGCGUUGUAUUAGCUAGUUGGUGAGGUAACGGCUCACCAAGGCGACGAUACAUAGCCGACCUGAGAGGGUGAUCGGCCACACUGGGACUGAGACACGGCCCAGACUCCUACGGGAGGCAGCAGUAGGGAAUCCUCGGCAAUGGGGGCAACCCUGACCGAGCAACGCCGCGUGAGUGAAGAAGGUUUUCGGAUCGUAAAGCUCUGUUGUAAGAGAAGAACGAGUGUGAGAGUGGAAAGUUCACACUGUGACGGUAACUUACCAGAAAGGGACGGCUAACUACGUG